UGGGUAUUACAAUAUGAGAUGAGAUUUGGGUGGGGACACAGCCAAAUCAUAUCAGGUACAUACAACAGAAGAGGGUGUUCGAGCUUUAACCAUCCAGCCUUCUUGGAGUCUCAUAUUGUGCAUAUGGCUCCCACAUUUAUGCUCAUUAAUAAAUACUAUACUGUUUUCCUUUAUGCAGUAAAUUUCUAUACUGUUAAUUUGUUUAUUGUCAAUUCAUUUAAAAAGGUUUAGACUUGAACCUUCAGAAGGAAACAAUUAAAAUUAAUUAUAUUUUAAAUAUUACCAUUUAAACAUAGUCUUCAAAAUCAACUGUAUAUUUAACACUUAAAGCUCAUCUCAAUUCAUACUAGCCCUACUUCAAGUGCUUAAGAGCCACUCUCGUGACUUGUGCCUUUCAUAUGGGAAAAUGUAGGUCUAGAGGUUGCAAAAUAUUCAAAGGAGAUGCGACAGAACCAAAGGACAAACGUACAUUACAUGGUGAUGCUGACUUUAAUACUU
rnacentral:lncRNA from 10 species